AAUUAAAACAAGAUUUUUUGAUACACCAAUAUUGGGAGUUAGGCUAAGUUACACAAUAUUCUUAUAACUCGUACUUAAAGGUCUUUCGCUUGCAAGUGAGCAAAAAUAGUAAUAGAUCAUAGUGUUACUCGCGAAACAGAGUUCUUAAGAGUUUAUAUAAGCUUACAUCUUCAUUGGUGCAACCCCAUCAAUUAUAGUCUCAGUGGAAGUGGUCUCUGAGUAACUCAAGUCAGGGUACAUGCCACAUCUACACAUAUAUACAAAGAGAAAUCAAUAUUUUUAGGAAACAAUGAACAAAGUAAUUAACUCCUAAUUAAGAAUAUAAUUAGAUGUUAUGGAGAAUCAUGAUAGGAUAUAUGGCUAGUGGAAUGGAAGAAUUACUUGCAGCCACUGCCGCACUUGCAGUCGCUACCACAGCUACAAUUGCAAGACAUUUUUUUCAAAAGUUGGCAAGACUAAAAGGAUAAGGAGAAGUUGUAUAGUUGGGAAUUGAAUUCACUCAAAGCCUGGGAUGGGUUUUCUUGUGAGGGACUCAACUGCUAUUUAUAGUGGAGUUGAAGGUUGAAGUCGUUGAGAUCCACCGUACACGUGGAUCAAUCCUAGGCAUCUAUUAGAAUUAUUAAAAUUAAUAGAGAUUAAGUGCCCUGGUUAACAAUCCAUUUAUUCAAAUUGGAAAUUAUUUUGGGUGUGACUGGCUAGAACGUUGACAUGUGAUGUGAUGUUACUAAAUAGGCAUGUAAAAGGACUAGAACGUAAUGGACUUGCCCGAGAUCAAACCUAUUUUUUGGGUUAUGGUUGGCUGGACUUAGCAUUAGGUCAUCUCUAAUGGAGAUGGUUAAAAGGUUAUAGGCCAUUUUUAGUCCGUGUUGGUAAAAAACUAAACUUCAAUGGAAGACAGACAAAAAUGUGUGGAACCCACUAGGCCAAAUAAUGGCCUUCUGGCUAUUGGGCUGGCUACUUCUAGCCACCCUUUAAGUCUGUUGGUUGGAAUAAGGAUUUUCUCUAGAUUCUCUUUGUGAAGAUUUCGAAAAUCUGUUUAUUAUGUUAUUUUAUCGUACAUCAUGCGAUCAGAAAUUAUUUUAAAUUUUAUUAUUUAAAAUUGAACACAAACAGUAUUUGAAGAAAACUGAUCACACGAUGUACGAUGAACGGACACGAUUCACAGAUCCCUGAGAUCCUCACAAAGAGGAUUCGAAAUGGAUCCGAAUUCCGUUUGUUGGGGGUCAUUUGUUACCAUCCAACGUGCUGACAUGAGCAGCAACAUCUUGGUAAUGUCAGCCAGUGGUUGGAAAUUUUUUUUUCAAACAAAAUAAAAAUAAAAAAAUGAUUUAAAAUUCAAAUUUUUUCCUAUAAAUGCCUAUGGCAUUUCUACAUCCUUUCUCAUAUUGUUUUCACCCUUACAUACUAUCCUACCUCAUUUUAUUCUAAUUUUUCACAUUCUAUUUACCUCAAACACUCUUUUCAUACACGGUCAUCUCUUAAUGUCUAAGUUGUUAACAUGAAAGUAAUAUUAAAAUAUUAAAAUAUGUAACAAUACCAACAUGUAACAAUACUAAUAAGUUAAAAGAAAAACUUGAAAAUAAUAAAUUAAUGAUGGGCUAUGUUUAGCCCUUUUCGGUUGGAGAUGGUAUACAAAUAUAGUGUGACAUCCCGUCCCAGAUUUUACAUUUUUAUAAAUUUUUAAAAUGUGAUUUUACGAAAAUGCCCUUAGAGGCGAGGGUCUUGACUUCGUUGACCAACGUAUAGCGAGGUGUACGAAUUAAUCCUUUAGCAUUUUCUUGAGGUACUCGACAUUACAGAACUAUAAAUCCAAGAAGUACUUUUGUUUAGUCACUAUUUAUAUAUUUUAUACAUUUUUAUAAUGAAUAUAUUUUUGUUUAUCAUUUAGUGAUUUUAAAAAGUUGAGGAAGAAGAGAAAGAAUAAGGGGGGAACGGGAGAGAGAGCAGAAGAGAAGGGCUGCUGCCCAAUCGGAGGAGAGGAAGAGAGAAGACUGACCAACUAGAGAGAAGAGAAAGGAGGGAAAUGAGGGAAGGUGAGAAAGAGGGAGAAACCGGGUUUCCCCCUUGACCCACUCGACCCGAAAAGCACACGGCCAAAUUCGGCCAUUUUUUAGGCGAUUCAAACCUUCCCACUAUCUGCAACCUACUCCAUAACCUUCCCUCUUCCUUUUCCAUCCAAAAUUAGAAGGAAUUUGGUGGUAAUUUUAGGGAAAAAUUGCAUCGAUGGGUGCGACGGUUCUUGGCCGAGAUUCACCAAAUUUUUAAAUGAUUUCAUCAAAUUACCACCACCAAAAUACUCCCCUGAAGCUCAGGAACAAAGCCCAAACAAGUUUGGAGGCGUCGGAGUUGCUAUGGAGCUGAAUUGAGGACACCUAAAACUAGGGUUUCCGACGAGUUUUAGCAAAAUUGGGGCUCUUUUAGGACAAAUUGGACUUGGCCACAUGUAUAAAGUUUACUCUACUAAUUGAGAUCUCCAUUCUUGUAAAUUUUGAUAAUUUUUGGAAAUAGUUGGAUUUUCCAGCGAGUCGGGGCGGCCGAUCGCCUCUUGCCGCGGCACAUGCGGCGGCGCCCGGCUAGGGGGCCGUGGAUGUUAUUCUUAGGCUAAUUAGAUGCUUUGAGUUCAUUUUUGGUAAUUUUAUGACGUAGGUUGAUUGUUAGAAUCUAAAUUCUCUACGUUACGUUAAUAGGUCAUUAUAUGAAUUGACGAUCCGACCGUUGGAUCGUUACCAAACUUUAGUAUGUUAGAGUGUGUAAUAUUUGAGGACCAUAGGAACUUACAGAUCGGGAAUCCGAUAUACGGACCUUUCCAAAAUUGGAAUUGUAAGUUCAUAAAAUAAAAGGUUAACCGCCACUUAGUUUUGGCAAUUGGCGGAGAUCCGACCGUUGGAUCGUAAUGAGACUUAAGGAUUUUCUCUAGAGGUAUAAUGUGGAUCUUUGGAAGCAACGGAUCGGAAAUCCAUGAUGCAAAUCUUCCAAAUUGAAUUACGUAGAGAUGCGUUUUAUGUAAAUUGUGUAUUUUAUCGGAAUGAAUUCUGAGAUGUGAUUUGAUAAUUGGCCACAGGCGACGAUGGUUCGUGAUGUCUUGAUAUGCGUGCUAAGGAGUAGUAGGGCGGACCUCAGGUAAUUGGGUCUUUUCCUUUCUAUUAUAUACAUAUACAUAUACAUAUACAUAUAUAUAUAUGAUUGAUAAUUCCACAAACAGUUAUAAAUUGAUUACUGCAUAUCAUUACUGUGAAUGCUUUGAAGUACUAAUGCGAACUACGAAUGGUUUGAUCCCUGUUUAGGGUACGUAGGCAGUCUAACAAGACGUUAGAUGCAGCCAUACAAUAAUUGAAACAAAAACCUUGUUUGGGAAUUGAGAAAUGUGAAGAAAAUUGGUGAAAAUAUGAGAUUUAACCUUAUAUUUUUAGUGAUUAGAUGUUGGUCAUAAAUCAAUAUGGAAGGAAUCAAGAAAUUGAAAUAAGGAAACGUAAGUAAUGAUAGUUAAUUAAACUAGUGUUUAGUUGGACUUAUCCCCGAUAAUUAAUUCUGAAAAUAAAUAAUUCGGGAGUAAGGCGUUAUAGAUUGUGCAUUUUACGCUACAUUAUAUAUAUAUAUAUAUGUAUAUAUUGGAAAAAUACUAUGAUAUGGUUGAAUUUUAGAUUUGCAUUAUGGCAUAUCCAUGUGUAUAUUACUUGCACAUAAUUAUUGUGAAUGCUUUGAAGUGCGAAGGUGAACGCAGAACACACAGGUGAGUUCAGGUGAGUUAUGGUAUUAGUUGAAAUAAUUAAGUUAUGGCAUGAUCACAUUUAUGUUUUAGGCAACUUCGACAUUGUCGUACAUGUUGCCUAUGAGUUGAAUAUGUCAUAUGAGAUGCAUUUAGAGCUCAUAAAGUAGUGAUCCCCCCCCCCGGUGGCCAGGGCACAGUCCUUCACGUGAUUUUCACCUUCCGCACCUUACGCUCACCUUGGAUCUAAGGUAGGUGCACAAGCAUGUUGUACAGACCGCUAUAGGUGGUUCCGACUCGUAGAUGACUCGUGAUUAUUCGCACAGUCUUCACGUGAUCGUAGCACUUGAACGUACUUAUUUACACACAGUCUUGUCAUACAGACCACUAUAGGUGGUUCCGACUCGUGUGCAGGGAUAUAUGAUGAGCCAACAUUGAUUGAUGAGAUAUGGAUAAGUCGUACAAGUCACUAUAGGUGAUUUCGACUGAUGAGCUAGCAUUGAUUGAUGAGAUAUGGAUAAAUCAUACAUGUCACUAUAGGUGACUCCAACUUAUGAGUUAGCAUUGAUUGAUGAGAUAUGGAUAAGUCAUACAGGUCACUAUAGGUGACUCUGACUUGCGUACAAGUAUGAAUUAUUAAUCACAUGAUUAUUGAUAUUGCUGAUGAGAUGCGGUGUUAUGGUAUAUUUAAGGAGUUACUGUUGAUAUACUUUUGAUUUCACAUUGAUACGUGGUAUGAUUUUUCUGGAAACUAUACAGGUGUUGCAGCGAGGGGUUAUAAUGUUUUAUAUGGUUUCUAUUAAAAUCUUAUUUCUCGGGCCACUCACCCUUGUUUUGUUUUCACCCUUCAGGUUUUAUUAGCGGAGCUUUCUUAUCAUUGAAAAUUCGUGGCGAUUCUUAGUAUUGGAGAUUCUUUCGAGCAUACGAUUCUUAAUUCACUCUACUGUACUUACUUAUGCUCUAACGUCACGUGUGAAGUGAGUUCAUUCCCGUUCACCAGCGUACUCUGGUAUUUAGGCACUCUUAGUGUUAAAUUUAUUCACAUUUUUCCACAUCAUCACACUUUAUGACUUUGUCACCUUCCAGGUGUCGGCCAACGCAGCUCGAUUCGGAGUCCUAGUGGACAUUUCGGGUCGGGGUGUGUCAUAUAGUCUGACACUGUUCAUUUAAAAAUAAUUUUUUUUUCAGGGCUAUAAUUCUAAAUGGAGCUAUACUUAACCCUUUCAGUUGGAGAUGCCCUUAGGAUCGAGCUUUAUCUGCCUAGACUCGAUUUUUAUGCCCUACACGAUAUGGCUCGAUGUAAUUUAAAUACUUUUGAACUUUCUUUAAUAUAAUUAAGUACUUGUUUUUCAAUACUAAUAUAAUAUAAUCCUUUUUUUAACAAACAAUAUUAUCUACACUGUGGGGGAGGAGUCAUGUGGAUAUAGCCUCACAUUAGGCUAUAAUAUGGUUCAAAUUCGUCUUUGAUAAUAAUUGAAUUUAAGACCUCUCACUUACAAGUGAAGAAGAAUAUAUCAUUAGAACGUAGUACUAAGUAGCCUAAUAUAAUUUAAUUGACUAUAUUAACCAAAAAAAUACCUAAAUUGAAAUGGUAAUUAACAACUAAUAAAAAUAAAAUGUCUUAAGUUCAACAGAAGAAAUUUAUUUCUAAAGUGGGUGAAAUAUUGAGAUUUUUUUUUUUGAAUAAACGAUAUUAUUCCCUUUAGUGUAGAUAAUAUCGUUUAUUAAAAAUAAAUUCUCAAUAUUCCCACUUUAGAAAUAAAUUUCUUUUGUGUGUGUGUGUGUGUGUGUGUGUGUAUAUAUAUGUCACGUUUCAAAAUAACUCUAAACGCUAACUAAACAUACAUUCUUGAUGACGAUCAAUUAGUGGCACUCAAUUUUGUAUCUUGAUAAUAAUUAAUAAUUAUUUUAACCUAGUGGCACUCAAUUUCGAAUUCGGAUCCUCGCCGGAUCUUCUUUGUGAGGAUUCCGAGGAUCCGUCAAUUGUGUUCAUUCAUCGUACAUCGUGCGGUCAGAAAUUAUUUUAAAUAUUUUUAUUUAAAAUUAAACAUAAACAGUAUUUGACAAAAACUGACUGCACGAUGUACGAUGAACGAACACGAUUCACGAAUGUCCAAUAUCCUAACCAAAAGGAUCUGGUAGGCUCAAUUUCUACCUUGAUAAUGAUUAAUUUUUUAAGUGGCACUCCACUUUUAUUAUUUUCAAAAAGAGGUUUAAUGUUCAAAUAUGAUAAAUAGCAAUGGUUAAAUCAAUCAAGAAAAGUUAUAAAGAUGAUAACAUAAACACAUUAUCAAUAAUUUAAAAUUAGAAUUUUUUUUAACAAACGAUAUUAUCUACACAAAGAAUGUGGGAGAGUUGGCUAAACCUCACACUGGGCUAACUAUAAUAAUGUAGUUCAAAUUCGUCUUUAGCGAAAAUUGAACUUAAAACCUCUAAUUUACAAGUGAAGAGGAAUACCAUUAGACUGUAGGAAGUUAACAAUUUUAUUUCUUAUCAUUCAUGUGCACCACUCACAUUAAUUCCCAUUUUAUUAUUUGGGAAGAAAAACUUUCGCUGCUUAAGGAUAUAUUAAUGAGAAACUUCUCUUUAAAAUACCUCAGAUUAAUUCUCUCAAUUUAUUAUUUGGAAAGAAAGAAUUGGCUCCUUAAGGAUUGAUGGGACUUCUCUUUAAAAUAUCUUAUGACCUUUCUACAGUAUUUUAUGCUUUUACCGAAUCCGUCUAUUUGUUUUUAGACAAUUCGAUGAUUAAACUAUUUUAGUUUUAAUUGAUUUUUUUGCAGACUUGAUAUUUACAUAAUGAUUUUUAAUAUACAUAGUUUUGAUCAUCAAUAUGAAAUUAUGUAAAUAGGCCACAAGGAGUUAACCUAUUAUUGAGUUUCAUUUGAUUCGUGGAGUGGCCAAAGUAGUCCCUUUCUUCCUACCAUACGGCACCUGCACAACUAGGUCACCUUUUAAGUUAUGGUGGCGGUUGCUAGCUGACCAUUCUUCGCCUAAGUUAGAAUUAUAUUUCAAGAAAUGUACUGGGUUUUCCAGGUAGACAAACAUAUAUGAGUCCAAAAUGUUCUUGUUUUGGCCAAGAGUUCAACUCAAGGUAAUAAAUCAAUCCUUCAUGGGCAGUACGUACUUGCAGAGGGGGGCGUUGGGAUGUGAGAAAGGUGCAGUGGCACAGAGUUCCGAAUUUUUGGGAGGCCCCAAAAUUUUUUAUCCUCCUUAUACUACAUAUAUGAGUAUUAAUUUAUAAUAAAAAAAAAUUUAACUGAAAAAAAAAAAUCAUCAUCAUAUGAUUUUACAAUUGAUUAAAUAGAGCUUAUACUUAAUAUAUUAUUUUUCUAUUUUUCUCUAGCAAUAAAAAACUUAUGUAUUACUUUCUUCUACUUUUCUUAAGUAAUAAAAAACUAAUGUGUGAUUAUUACUUUAUUCCACCACAAACGUAUUUUCAUAUCUCUCUUUUAGCUGUGCUUGAUUUUUUUAUAGAUGAACCAAAAUCAUAAUUUAAUGGUAAUUGGAGAUUAUUCAAUUAGUAAAAGUGAGAUGCUGAUUUCAAUUAAGUUUGAAUAUUGAUAGUUGAACUUUGUAUGAAUAUAUUCUCUAAGAAAUUAUUAUUUUUAAAUAAGGACGGCCUUCUUAUGAAAUUCGCACAGGACCACCAAACUGUCAGAGACAGCCUGUGUACCAGCCCCUUUACCUGUUGAGCUCGUGUAGGCAUCGACAGAGAUUGAUUAUGAAGGAGAGGAGGGCACACCAAAUGACGAUGGAUGGAGGUUACGACUGCAGUCGGGGAUAGCGGCCAUGGUAGAGGACGUGGUUUGGGAGGCAGCUACUCAAGGUGGCCGCGGUAGUGGCCAUGGGAGGGGAGGAUGGAGGAUACAAGGAAGAAGCACCUCAUGCUCAAGGUGCCCGCGGUCGUUGCCAUGGGAGGGGGAAGGAUAUGGACGUGGCUAUAGGUGGAACAUCAUACAAAAAUGGCCAGUGUCUAGUUUAGAGCUGCAAGAUGGAAGUUAAUCUCUCGUUUUGUCGCGUAGAUUAGGUGCGAUGUUUGAAUAGAUGAAAUUAAUCAUGCCCUUAAUUAAUCAAAUAUAUGACUCUUGGAAUGAAUUAAUUAUAUGGUAUUAUCUAUUGUGUUUGCCUUUUUUUUGGGUCGAAUAUCUCUGGUGUUUCUAAAUUCCAAAUCUGGUUACAUCAGAUAAAAAGUCAGAAGAUAGGAACAUGACCUAAUAGUUGGUGGCUUGUAAAAAUAUGGAUUAAAGGUCAACUCAAAGGAGCUCUCAAUAGUCCAUAUCCACUACAAUUUUAUCUUUCAUUUCCAAACCCAAACACACAUCAAAGUAAAACCCACAAGAAAUUUAAGCUGAAGAAACACAUAAAUUAAGAAAGAUGUAACAUACAAAUAAUUAAGCUAGCCACAAAGCAAAUCCCAAACCCUAGCUAGCUAGAGAUUCAUGGAUUUGCAAAUCUCAUGGCUAAUCUUAUUUUACAGUAAGUUCUAAAACCCAGCUUUUACAGUCUUUUCUUAUUUAUAGAGACCAUCACAGCUUUCUUCUUUGAGUUUAGAUCGUGGCUUGCUUCGAUCAUUUGUGGCAGCCGCAUGAGCUGCAGCUGCAGUUUGAGCCACACUUGCAGUCAUUCUCUGCUCCAUAGCUCAUCUCAGACCCCUCAGAGAACCUGCAAUAAUAAUGAUAAUAUAGUCAAUUUCAUUUUUUUUUUAACUACAGAGUUUAUUUAGAACUCCAAAAAAGUCAUCCGGCACUCCUAGAAUAGUAAAUUCUCUAUAUGUUUCUACGUG
rnacentral:lncRNA from 1 species